rnacentral:rRNA from 1 species
GACAGAGGUGCCGAGCGUUAGGCGGAAUCACUGGGCUUAAAGCGUGUGUAGGCGGGUCGUUAAGUGUCUUGUGAAAUCCCCCGGCUCAACCGGGGAAUGGCUGGGCAUACUGGCGAUCUUGAGCAGUCUAGGGGCAGAUGGAACAAGUGGUGGAGCGGUGAAAUGCGUAGAUAUCACUUGGAACGCCAAAGGUGAAAACAGUCUGCUGGGGACUUGCUGACGCUGAGACACGAAAGCCAGGGGAGCAAACGGG